GAUAUGGCUCAGGAUGAACGCUAGCUACAGGCUUAACACAUGCAAGUCGAGGGGCAGCAUGGUCUUAGCUUGCUAAGGCCGAUGGCGACCGGCGCACGGGUGAGUAACACGUAUCCAACCUGCCGUCUACUCUUGGACAGCCUUCUGAAAGGAAGAUUAAUACAAGAUGGCAUCAUGAGUCCGCAUGUUCACAUGAUUGAAGGUAUUCCGGUAGACGAUGGGGA
rnacentral:rRNA from 1 species